CAUCGCCAGACGUGUCCUCCCCUCUCCCCCCCACCACCGCCCAUUAUCACCCUCUAUCUCGUUUUUCUCUAUCCGGUCACAAGAGGAACACCACCUAGAGCAGCUCGUAAUCCCCAUUCUUUCGAUCCAGCUCCACUCCGGAGAAGCAGCUUAGUGCAUCAGCCCCGUGACGAAGACGCGAAGCACCCCGUUGGAUUACCCGCCCCCGGCGAGUCUUAGCUGCUACACAGGGGAAGGAGGGAGCUCAAUCAUGGAUCUGGUCGAUGAAAGCAUUGAAUCAGCCCCAUCUCUCCAGCCUGUUCGGUUUUUGGAUGUUGAGCUUGGUGGGGCUGAUAUUCGAGACGAAUUCCUGGAUCCAGAUAUCUGUGGUAUAGACACUUCCUCUAACCACAGAUGCCAUCACAAACUUAAUCCAGCAAGAAAGGUUGCUUACGCAAGCGCGGCCACUGGGAGGAGGUUUCUUGGAUGCCCUCACCAUGGGAACGAGAGAUGCAGCUGGUUGAAGUGAAUUGACGAACCAUGGGGGCAUGUUCUUACACGCUCAAUAAUGCACCUAUGGGGUAAAGUUGCUAUGUACCGCGAUAAAUCAGAUGAGUUGGAUGCCAAGAAGAAGGAAAUGAACCAGGUUUACCUAGAGCUCUGGACUGAGAGAAGCAAGAUGGAGUCUGAGCACGAUCAGGUUGUCAUCAAUCUCAAGAACAUUAUAGUGGACAAUGAAAUUAAGAUGGCCAGGAGGUUGGAUUUUCACACUAAGCUGUGUGUGGCCUCUAUUUCUUCAGUUGUUACUCUAGCAGCAGUCCUAGCCUAUGUGUUGACUCCCUAGUCAGGUCGUGUUUUUAGUGAUCGUUUAGCUGAUGCACUAAGCCGCUUCUCCAGAUUGUAUUAUGAUUAUAUGUUACUCCUUUACCUCAUUAUAAUAUAGUAUGGUAUGUUGGAGUUCACCGUAUCAAAUUCGAGUUGAUUUCGCAUAUCAACUAUUCAUUAUGACCUUUUUCGAUGCAUGUUGUUCCCUGCCCGUUAUCAGUUAAUUUACAACUCUAGUCGUGAUUGAGAUUCAAAUUCCAGUAUAUAUAUUACAAACAUUUGCUUUCUAUGAAAUGUUUCAAAAAAUCGUGUGUUAACUUGACCCGUGUAGCAUUUGCAAUUUGUUAUCAUGAUAUAUACGCAUAUUACAUACACCUGUAUUCAGACCAAUCUUGGGACAAAAACAUUUCUGCAGUACCCAUUUUUAUUUACCCCCUCAUGUUGCUUCUCGUUAUAUUCCCAUUUAUUAUAUGUGUUGUUCAAGUCUGUUAAUGCGGCCGACAUUUUAGAACGGAAUGGUUCAUUUUUUAUUAUCCAACCAGGUUGUGCCAGGUCCAGUCCAAUCGUAUAUAUCGUUUUGCCUAUGACUCUGGUGUAAGAUUUAAUCGACGACCUGGCAGAAGUUUAUAAGGUUCCAAUCCCAAGUCCUCCUACGAUGGCAACGCCCAGAUGAUUCCCUCGAUUUUCUGCCGAAGGCGAGCACGUAGCGACAGCAACGGCUCGAUUGUCACUUAGACCCCGGCUGGCCGGUCGUCUUAACGGCGACCAUGACAACCGACAUCGUUCCGCGGUGAUGACGACGAGUCUGAUGAGGUGCUACGCCGGGCUGGAUGGCCUCCCCCGCCGGCCAUAGAAACCUAUGGGCUGUAGCCUGUACCCUGUAGCCUGUACAAAAUGUGCUGAUGCUAUGCUCAUAUGAAAAAAUUGUAUCAUUAUCUGCACCUAAAUCAAUGACAUC